rnacentral:rRNA from 1 species
GACGAACGCUGGCGGCGUGCCUAAUACAUGCAAGUAGAACGCUGACGCGAGGAGCUUACUCUCCUUGGAUGAGUUGCGAACGGGUGAGUAACGCGUAGGUCACCUGCUUUGUAGUGGUGGAUAACUAUUGGAAACGAUAGCUACUACCGCAUAACAAUGGAUGACACAUGUCACUUAUUUGAAAGGGGCAAUUGCUCCACUACAAGAUGGACCUGCGUUGGAUUAGUUAGGAGGUGAGGUAAUGGCCCACCAAGGCGACGAUACAUAGCCGACCUGAGAGGCGGAGCAGCGACAGUGGAAGUGAGACACGGUCCAGACGCCUACGGGAGGCAGCAGUGGGGAAUAUUGGACAAGGGGGGGAAGCGUGAUACAGGCAUAGCGCGUGGGUGAAGAAGGACUUGGGGUUGUAAAGACCUUUUGUGGGGAAAGAAAAGCAGGAGGGUAAUACCAAGCUGUUCUGAUGGUACCCAAAGAAUAAGGACCGGCUAACUUCGUG